AGACUACUCCCUCAGUCCGAAAAUACUUGUCAUUGAAAUGGAUAAAAAAAGGAUGUAUCUAGAACUAAAAUACGUCUAGACACACCUUCUUUUAUCCAUUUUGAUGACAAGUAUUUCCGGGUGGAGGGAGUACCAU
rfam:Triticum aestivum genome assembly, contig: Triticum_aestivum_CS42_TGACv1_scaffold_499985_6BL